CCUACGGGUGGCAGCAGUGGGGAAUAUUGCACAAUGGGGGAAACCCUGAUGCAGCGACGCCGCGUGAGCGAUGAAGUAUUUCGGUAUGUAAAGCUCUAUCAGCAGGGAAGAAAAUGACGGUACCUGACUAAGAAGCCCCGGCUAACUACGUGCCAGCAGCCGCGGUAAUACGUAGGGGGCAAGCGUUAUCCGGAUUUACUGGGUGUAAAGGGAGCGUAGACGGUCCUGCAAGCCAGAUGUGAAAGCCCGGGGCUCAACCCCGGGACUGCAUUUGGAACUGGAAGGCUGGAGUGUCGGAGAGGCAGGCGGAAUUCCUAGUGUAGCGGUGAAAUGCGUAGAUAUUAGGAGGAACACCAGUGGCGAAGGCGACCUGCUGGACGAUGACUGACGUUGAGGCGCGAAAGCGUGGGGAGCAAACAGGAUUAGAUACCCUUGUAGUC
rnacentral:rRNA from 1 species